UACGUAGGUGGCAAGCGUUGUCCGGAAUUAUUGGGCGUAAAGCGCGCGCAGGCGGCCUCUUAAGUCUGAUGUGAAAGCCCCCGGCUCAACCGGGGAGGGCCAUUGGAAACUGGGAGGCUUGAGUAUGGGAGAGGAUGGUAGAAUUCCAGGUGUAGCGGUGAAAUGCGUAGAGAUCUGGAGGAAUACCGAUGGCGAAGGCAGCCAUCUGGCCUAUAACUGACGCUGAGGCGCGAAAGCGUGGGGAGCAAACAGG
rnacentral:misc_RNA from 1 species